CGAAGCAAGAAUGACGGAAAAGCAUAAUUCGGAUGCAAGGAAUAAAUGUAGAAAUGAUGUUUGCAUCGCUACUAUUUAGCGAAUAUUAUAGCAAGGCAUUAAAUCAGGUCAAUACAUUGACCCGAGCCAGGUAUGAUUUUAGCACCGGAGGAUGAUCAAGCACAACGAAGAACCGAACACGAUCAAGAAAUAAGCUUCCGCACUAUGUAUCGUUGUUUUGUUAAAUGACGAACUCAAACAUGUUAUCUUGUAUAGUUUUAAUUCUGUAAAUAAAGUUUAAUGAAA